UACAGAGGGGGCAAGCGUUAUUCGGAAUUAUUGGGCGUAAAGCGCACGUAGGCGGCUUUGCAAGUCCCAUGUGAAAUCCCACGGCUCAACCGUGGAAGUGCAUGGGAAACUGCAGAGCUUGAGUACUUAAGAGGAUCGCGGAAUUCCCGGUGUAGAGGUGAAAUUCGUAGAUAUCGGGAGGAACACCAGUGGCGAAGGCGGCGAAUCUGGGAAGAUACUGACGCUGAGGUGCGAAAGCGUGGGGAGCAAACAGG
rnacentral:rRNA from 1 species